rnacentral:rRNA from 1 species
GCAAGUCGAACGGACAUAUAAUUGGGUAACCGAAGUAUGGUUAGUGGCGAAAGGGUGAGGAAUAGAUAGGAACGUACCCUGUGCUCUGGGAUAGCGUCUGAAGCUUCGGCUUCUUCCGAAAGGGGCGGUAUACCAGAUAAUGUCCUUCGGGACCAAAGAUUUAUCGGCAUUGGAGCGGCCUAUCUCCUAUCAGCUUGUUGGUGAGGUAACGGCUCACCAAGGCAACGACGGGUAGCGGGACUGAGAGGUUGGCCCGCCACAUCGGGACUGAGACACUGCCCGGACCUCCACGGAGGGCUGCAGUAACGGAUAUUGGGCAAUGGACGAAAGCCUGACCCAGCAAUGCCGCGUGCAGGAUGAAGCCCCUAGGGGUGUAAACUGCUGUCAGGGGUCAGAAAGCUGGUUUCGGCCAGUUGAUCAACCCCAGAGGAAGUCACGGCUAACUUCGUGCCAGCAGCCGCGGUAAUACGAAGGUGGCAAGCGUUAUUCGGAAUCAUUGGGCUUAAAGGGCACGCAGGCGGAACAGUGUGUGUUGUGUGAAAUCCCCCGGCUUAACCGGGGAAUUGCACAGCAAACUGCUGUUCUUGAGGCAGGUAGGGGUGCAUGGAACUCUUGGUGGAGCGGUGGAAUGCGUAGAUAUCAAGAGGAACGCCAGAGGUGAAGACGGUGCACUGGGCCUGUCCUGACGCUGAGGUGCGAAAGCGUGGGGAGCGAACGGGAUUAGAUACCCCGGUAGUCCACGCCGUAAACGAUGUCUACUAGGUCGUGGGUGUUCUGACACAUUCACGGCCGGAGCAAAAGUGUUUAGUAGACCGCCUGGGGAGUACGGCCGCAAGGUUAAAACUCAAAUGAAUUGACGGGGGCUCACACAAGCGGUGGAGCAUGUGGAUUAAUUCGAAGCAACGCGCAGAACCUUACCUGGGUUUGACAUGCUUGUAUGCCUUCUCUGAAAGGAGUUAGGUUGCCUUCGGGUGAAACUUGCACAGGUGCUGCAUGGCUGUCGUCAGCUCGUGUCGUGAGAUGUCGGGUUAAGUCCUUUAACGAGCGAAACCCUUGCCGUUAGUUGCCAGCGAGUAAUGUCGGGGACUCUAACGGGACUGCCGGUGUUAAACCGGAGGAAGGUGGGGAUGACGUCAAGUCCUCAUGGCCUUUAUGCCCAGGGCUUCACACGUGCUACAAUGGCAAUUACAGAGCGACGCGAUACCGCGAGGUGGAGCAAAUCGCAAAAAAUUGCCUCAGUUCGGAUUGCAGGCUGGCAAUUCGCCUGCAUGGAGUCGGAAUCGCUAGUAAUCGCGUAUCAGCAAUGACGCGGUGAAUGUGUUCCUGAGCCUUGUACACACCGCCCGUCAAGUGAUGG